rnacentral:rRNA from 1 species
AUUGAACGCUGGCGGCAGGCCUAACACAUGCAAGUAGAACGCAGUUGCGAACGGGUGAGUAACGCGUAGGUAACUGCCUCAUAGCGGGGGAUAACUAUUGGCAACGAUAGCUAAUACCGCAUACUGUGAGAUGGACCUGCGUUGUAUUAGCUAGUUGUUGAGGUAAAGGCUCACCAAGGCGACGAUACAUAGCCGACCUGAGAGGGGGAGCGGUGACCAUGGGACUGAGAAACGGCCAAGAGUCCGUGGGGAGGCAGCAGAAGGGAGUCUGCGGCAAUGGACGGAAGUCUGACCGAGCAACGCCGCGUGAGUGAAGAAGGUUUGCGGAUCGUAAAGCGCUGUUGUUAGAAAAGCGGUAAAUAAACAGAAAGGGACGGCUAACUACGUGCCAGCAGCCGCGGUAAUUC